rnacentral:lncRNA from 1 species
GGUGCAACCACCACCAUGCAAAAAACCACAAAGCAUGCAAUUUUUCCAAACAUUUCCAUUCUUAUAAAAAAAUUGAGUAAAGAUUAUAGAUAUAGUAGUACAAUUGUAUUUGUUUUGUGUGUUAGGUGUAAAAGCUAGUGAGUAUUUAUAGAGAGGAAAUUAGUGGAAUUAAAAAUGAGAGAAUUAGUUGGGAGUUAAGAGUUAAAUGAAAUGAGUAUAAAGUCAAAUUUCGUUUGUUACGUGACUAAUUUUUAUUGAACCACGCUAUACACGAUUUAAGGCCCAAUCCACAAAUUGUCCCAAUACUACUUUUCCUGUUACAGUGACGAAGUCAGAAAAUUUAAUUAUAUCGUAAUCUUUUUCUUAAAAUAAUGUGUGUUCGAUGGCUCUACUCAUGCUUUGAAUCAUUUUAUUUUUUAUUCUUUAUGGUAUAAAGUAAAUGUUUUUUUUUUAGAAAAAAAAAAAAUACAAGGAGAAGAGUGGUUAUUAAAUAAAGAAGAGUAAUAAAUAAGGAGAAGGGUGGGAUGUAAAAAAGUCAUAAUACAUGAAAUUGAUUAAACAAUGUCUCGAGUACAAACUAAGGAGACAGAGUACCUUACUGUUAGAUGUGGAAAUAUUAUGGUACAUGAGUUAAUUUUGAAACAAAUGACCCAUUAAUUUCUUUUAAAAAUUGGAUUUAAGGUGUAAUGUUUAUUUAUUUAAAUAAAUCAAUUUGCUUUCAUGACUUUUUAUUUUUAAAAAUGAGUUUAAGGUGUAAAGUUUAUUACUUAAUUAUAAAUGAUUAAAUAUUUUUGUAUGUUCAAUACAAAUGCUUGUUUCCGGUCAAAAAGAUCAUGAAAAAAGUAUACAAAAUAAUUAAACCUAUAGCAAAAUUAUAAUUAUGUGUUAUAGUUAUAAGUUGCAUAAUUUGCUCACCAUAGCGAAUAUGCUAUGGCUAUUUCGCUACAUAUAUAUAUAUAAAAGAAUUUAAGAUAUAUAUAUUUAUAUAUAUAUAUAUAUGUGUGUGUGUGUUAUAGUUAUAAGUUGCAUAAUUUGCUCACCAUAGCGAAUAUGCUAUGGCUAUUUCGCUACAUAUAUAUACAAAAGAAUUUAAGAUAUAUAUAUAUUUAUAUAUAUAUAUAUAUAUAAUAUAUAUUUGCAUAAAUUAUUGUCCGUCUCUCGUGGCUGCCUUUCAAUUCAAUUUUAUGUGUUUGUAUAUCUGUAUAUAAUUUGAAUUUGUAUACAAUUUAAUCGAAAUAAAAUGUUGGUAUAUCAAAUAUUGCUCUCUGUUAUACAUUGUAUUUUAUAUAAUCUAUACUUCUAUAAAGCGAGAAAGAGAAAGACAAAAGAGACCUAAGCAUGAGAAUAUUUGGAUUGUAUAAUUAUAAGUGUAUAGAACAAAAAUAUUUGUAUUUGCAUGUGUACAUACAAUUUUCUUCCGCUUUGUACAAACAGAAACACAAUUUAUACAUUUUUGUUUGUAUAAAGCGAGAGAGGCGGGGGAGAGACUGGCGAACAAGAGAGGGAGAGUGUCGAGCGAGAAUUUCAAGGAGAGAGGCGAGAACUGUGGUUUUAACAUCUAAUUUAAAUCAAUAGUUUGUCAUUAUAUACAAUUUUCUCAAUUAAAAAAAAAUAAAUCUUUUUAUUAAAUUAAUUUAAUUUACUUUUCAAUUUGGAUCGGUUUAUAACUAAACCUAUCAAAUCUUAUACAACAAUUCGUCAAACCUCAUGUCCCUGAUUACCCCUUCUUCCUUGUGGAGAGGUUUAACAACCAUCAAAGGAUAUAGGGCCACCCUAUAAUAAAACAAACUUUAAACGGUAAUAGAUAUAUAAUACAAUUAUUAAUUUUAUCAUUAACAUAAUAGAAUUAGUUAAUUAUCAUUGGUGUACUAUAGUUAUAGGCUUGAAAAUAUUUAUAAAGAGUGUUAAUUAUCUUUAAAAUAAAAUGUUUUGUCACAAUUAAGCUAUUAUUAUUAAUUAAUUAUCGCUAAAUUAAAACUAGUAGCGAAACUAGAAUCAGAAACAGAUUUAAAAAAAAUAUACGAAAUAUUUUUCUUAAAGAAGAAUUGUUGUUAAUAUGUGUCUAAAGAAUCUUACUCAUUCCAACAAGCUUUGCAAAAACACGAAGUUACCAAGUUUAAUGAACCAGUGAAGAACAAAAGAAUAGAAGAAUUGGAAUUAAUUCACAAAUCUAAAAUUUGUAAAGCACGUACCAGAAUCUGAAAAUUUUUAAUAGGAAAAAGAUCAAGUCUACUGAACUCACAGUGUUCCCUUAAGGAAAUUAUUCCCCUCUAGUAUCCGAGGUUUGAUUUGGAAUAUGACCUUCCAGGGUAAAAUAAUCUCAAUCAUCAGAGUAUAGAUACCAAAAACUCAGGUGUCAGUGAACCACUCAACGACAGUAAAGUACACUUAGAAUACUAGAUUUAGUAGUUGAAGAAGAAGUCCAUCAAUUCUAUUUUAAUAUGAGAGGAAAUCCCUCAAUUUAUAGAAAACAAAGGGUAGUGCAAAAAGGUUCUUAUUGUGCCUUACCGAAAAGGUCACAAACCUUUGGAAAAGUCACAAUCUUUCAGAAAGGUCGUCACCUUUCAUAAAAGUCACAACUUUCCAUAAAAGUCACAAGUUUUUAUAAAAGUCGCAACUUUUCAUAAAAGUCGCAAACUUUCAUAAAAAUCACAAUUUUUCAUAAAAGUCGCAAUUCUUCAUUUUCCAUUCACACCUUUUUAAAAUCGAACAAAAGAUCUUCGAUAUGAAUUAAUUUCUCUUAAUAAGACUCUACGUGAUUUGAAUAUGAAAUUAUCUAAGUUUAAUAUAAAUAAUAGUCAAAUUUUAAUACAAAUAUAAAAAGAAAAUAGAAAGAAGUUUGACGAAUAUGAGGUGGACACAAAUUGCCAAUCUAAUAGUCGACUGAGACUGAAGAAAUUAAUUGCGACAACAACCAAUGAAUACGACUUUCUCUAUUCAUUUUAAUUAUUCAUAAUAUUAAAAAAAAAAAUUAAUUUAUCCACUUAAUUAGCUUAUCAAGAUAAAUUAUAUAUUUUAUUUUAUUAUUAUUAGCUAUGUAUUCUAUUUUAUUUUUCAAAUUCAUUGAGACUAUAUAUAUAUAUAUAUAUAUAUAUAUAUAUUAUUGCUAUUUCUUAAUGGAACUGUAAAGCUUCUUAUAAACAAGUAAAAAUAACAAAGCUUAUAUUUAUUAAUACAUAGGUUCAAAAUUAUUACCCCUAAGAAAUUAAAAAGGUAUUAAUUAUUUUCUCGCAAGUAAUUUCUUUCAAGUUUCAUAAUGUACAAAGCAUUUAAUAAUCUUUCAUAAUUGAUAUUUUCUAAUAAUUUCUUUUCAAUUAAUAAUAUAACCAAUCUAUGCAGAUUAAUAAUUUUUGAACAUAAUAUUUCAAAUAUAUAUAUAUCAAACUUCUUCUAAUUUUUUUUCUUUCUAUACGAGAAGCUCAAUUUUUCUAUAGUACGCUAUUAUUUUUUGUAAUAAAAAAUAAAAUCUAUUAUUGCUAAAAAGCAAAUGCCCUUCCUUCAAAUUUUGAGGUCUUAAAGGCACUUAUCUUUUGUUAAUUAACCUUGUAGAAUUUGUACUAGAGUAUUGUGGUCCCGUUUGACUUCAAAUAUAUUACGAGAAAAUUUGCAAGAAAAUUUAAAAAAUAAUGUUUGAUCAUAUAAUUUAUUAUUAUUUAGCAAAUAUCUAUCAAAUAUUUUAAUUUUUAAAUUUUAGAAAAAAAAUAAUAUUUGAGUAAAGUUCUAAUAUUUAGAAAUUCAAAUAAAUCACGUCAAACUUUUAUAUUUUAUAAAUAGCAUUCGACAUUUAUUAAUUCCAACUAAUAUUUAUCUACCAAGUUACUCUAUUAAUAACUAAUAAUUACUCAUCUGUGCUAUCUAUAUAGAACCAGACCCAAAAAUAACAAAUUAUUGUUAAUGAAUUAUCAUUAAUAACAAUUAAUUGAUGUAAUGUGUAACAACUUCAAUUUCACAAUAGAAACAUUCAAAUAUUAUAAUCGUUAAAGUCAAAGUUACAACGGAAAAUGAAACUAACAAGAAAAUCGUAAAACGAUAAUGAACUAGUAAAACAAAGAAACCAUUGAAGAAGACUACUAGAAGGGAGAUGAGAAACACAGACUCAAAAAAAGGAAUGAGAGGACUAGACACUUUUCUACAAUAAUUUACGUAAUCCCUAAAUCACGUAUUACUUAUAUUGAAAGUUCGAACCGUUUUAUACCCACUACUCAAUUCGAAUCCCAAAUUAACCUGGUCCUAUAUUUUUAGCCCAAUAACAACUUAUAUGACAUUAAUAUCUAUAUUUGGUUAAACUUGAUUCAUAACAUAUUGCUCCUACCCAUAUUUUUAUUUUGUUGUGAAUUGAUAUUAAUUACUUUAUAAGCUAUUUUUUUAAAAAGGAAUAUGUUUAUUAUAAAAUGACAUUACAAACUUAAAAUAAUUUGUCAAAAAAAUUUAAAAAUUUGAGGCACACUAGAUGUGUACCGUGUUGUGAUAGAUGGGUUGUGUAGAGAGAGGAGAUUUACGAAAGCACAAAAUUGUUUGAUAACAUACUUUUUAAUUUGCUUUUAUAAUCCUCUUUUUUUAGAAAUAUUUUAUUUUUAGUUUUUAGGUAACAUGUUUAAGGUCAUAAUAAGACUAAAUGUCGUUUUGAUAUAUUUGACAUAACUUCAAUUUAGGAUCACAAGAUUAAAUUAUCUUUUUAAACUUUGUAUCAAGUUAAAUUAGAUUGUUAUUUUUUGAAAUGAGAGAAAAUGAUCAAAUGACCCCUUAACGUAUAACCGGAUUUUCAACUAUACACUUAAAUUUUAUGGGAGUCCUAUCACCCUCUGAACUAUUUAAAAAUGAAAUAAUUAUACCGUUAAAAAGCCAUAACCACCAAAUCUAUGGUGGAAUGUGAGUUUCACCACAUCAUCAAAUUAUUAUUUUUUUAAUUCUUUUCUUAUAUAUUCUUACCUAUCUCUUGAAAUACUGAAGAUAUUUUCACCAUUUUCACCAUUACUAGAACACCACGAGUCCAUUAAAAUUGGGUCUUUAAGGAAUAAUAAUAAUUUCAGAGCUCGUUCAAAGAUAUUUGGAUUUUGCUCAUUUGAAACCUAAAAAUCAAAUUAGAAAAAGUUGAAGGGGGAAGAGAAGACGAAUAUGAUGGAAUAUUGCCAUUAAUGGUGGUCACCGAAGAUAAGAAAUCCUCUCAAGAAAGAUGAGGAAGAGGAGCCUACCAUGUCUUCCACAUUGUCAUCUAUAGCGACGACAAUUUCAAAAAAGAAGACACCGAUUAUACGACAAUUGAUGGACUAACUAGAUUAAUAGCUAGAAUUUUUGAGAUAUAGUUGAUUAAUUGAGAUUUGAUAUUAGUAAUUAAAGGAUAUAUUAGAAAAAAAUUAUUUUUUUCUGGUUGGCCCAAUCAGAUUCAAAGUAAACUCAUAUUAAUUUUUCUCAAAUCAGAUCCAAAGCAUCUUGGGGUGAUAUAAAUAUAUGUCAUCAAUUGAUUUAGGUUGAUUGAUUUUGCAAGAGCUUUAUAAAUGUUUGAAAAUUUGUUUGGAGUCGACGAAAGUGAAGAUGGUGGCUGUAAGACUUAGGUGAUUGAGAGAUUUGUUUAUAUUGAUGGACAAGAAAGAAAACAAACAAAUAAUUAAAAAUGCAUAUAUUUGUUGAAAAAAGAUAUUCCAUCUGUUUCACAAAAAAUGAUUUGGUUUGACUUGACAUGAAGUUUAAGUAAAUAAAGAAGACUUUUGAAUCUUGUGGUCGUAAAUCAAAGUUAUGUCAAAUGUACAAAAUUAUCUUUUAAUUUUAUGGUCUUAAAUAUGGCACGUGGAAAGCUAAAGUUAAAAUGUUAGAGGUCAUUCUUUUGGAAAUAAACUAAAAUGGAAAGAAUGUCACUCUUUUUUAAAUAAAAAAGAGUUUAACUACUAUCCACCGACGGUGGACAAAAAAUUACACGGGCAUAUAUUUUUGGAAAUAUUUAAUUUUUUAAUUAAUAUAUUUUAAUAUUAUUAAUAUUAAAAUAAAAAUAAUAACAGAGUGUUAUAUGGUAACUUGAAUUAUAAAUUAAUUGUACAAAUUUAAUUAGGAUUCUUAUUUGUCUUACCAAAAACAAAAAAUACAUAAUUUCUUGUGUUUUCUUAUUGGAAAGCACUUCAAUCCUUCAAAGAAAAUCAUUGCCAACAUAUUUUUUUUUAUAAGAACCGGUACUUGUUGCCAUUGAAGCAAUGCUAGCAAAAUAUUAAUAAGAAACUAUUCCAGAAACAUAAAGUGCAACAAAAUCAACAUAUUCAAACUUAUAAGAGUAAGCAAACAAAAUCAAACACUAUUAAAUACGGCCCAUGAUUUAAUCACAAUUGCAUGCUUGGUUACAUUUUUUUAAACGAAAUCCUUCUUUUGAACAAACAAACUCUUGACCAAUAAUGGAUUUAUCUUUUCUUGAUCUACUAAUUCGAUUUUUGCGCACACUAAAACCAUUACGAUGAGCAUAAUCAAGAUAAAAUUUAAAUCUAGUAUCAAGUGAUUGAAAUUCCAUACCGAUGUAAGACUCUCUUAAUUCUUGCUCACCUAGUUGAGGAACAAAAGAUACAACUGCAUUCAUGUUGCUUUCUAUAUCCUCCAAGGAAUCUUCAAUUCCUUCUGCAUUUUGCUCUUCUAAAUUAGAGAUUUCAAAAGUUUCCUGCAAUACACAAUUAUUAGAUAUUAGACUAAUAGGGUAAGUUAGCUUUAAAAUUUUAAAUAUUUUUCAUGGCUAAUGUAUUGAACUUCUUCAAUUUGCUAAAAAGUUCUUAAACGUAUUCUUUAAAUAUCUUCAUCACUACAAAACAUAAAUUUCUUCAUACAUUAAAACAAGAAUAUUUCUUUGAAACGUUUAUUCAUGUUGCGAAAAAGAUUUAAUAAGUUAUGUAAAAAAAGAUAUACGAGGAAAACGCUACCAUGAUAAUUGUUUCAAAUUGCUUCAAUGGUGGAUAGUUGGUUGCUUCAAUGGUUUAUGUAGAAAAAGAAGAACGUUAAUCCAACUAAGAAAACACAAGAAAUUAUGUAUUUUUUAUUUUUGGUAAGACAAAUAAGAAUCCUAAUUAAAUUUGUACAAUUAAUUUAUAAUUCAAGUUACCAUAUAACACUAUGUUAUUAUUUUUAUUUUAAUAUUAAUAAUAUUAAAAUAUAUUAAUUAAAAAAAUUAAAUAUUUCCAAAAAUAAAAUGUCCGUGUAAUUUUUUUGUCCACCGUCGGUGGAUAGCAGUUAAACUCUAAAGAUCAAAUAAAGUUUUAAUAACAGAUUUUGGUGCUCACUCUCCAGAGAGAGUCAAAUACAUUUAGGGAACUAAUUAUUUCAAUUUUGAAUAGUACAAGGGAUGAUUAGACCCCCGUGAAAUUUAAUUGUAUAGCGUUGAGGGCAUUUAAUCAUUUUCUCUUUGAAACAGAGAAUAUAUAUCAUUACGGAUCUAAUCUCCAAAAGAUGAAGAGUGAGUAAACCCUGAAUAAUUUGCGACAUUUAAUACGUUGUUUACUUUAAUUAAUGGACUUAUAAUAAUAAGUUGGAAAGGACCGAAAAAGUUUAAUAUAUAUUGCAUGGUGAAUUUGUACCUUCAUGAAUUUAUUUAAAAGUAUACUUUUUAUAGGCAUUUGUGAUGGUGAUGAUGUUAUAAGUAUAUUUCUCAAUAAUUAGCAUUAUACGUGUAAGAAGUGGUUAGAAAAAGGAGGUACCUAGAUGAAUGAGCACACAAUAGCGUAUACUAUAUUACUCGAAUUUGAUAUAUAUGUGUAAUGCAUAUUAAAAGAACCCUAGUAAAAGUAGACCAAAAAUAUUGAAUAGACGAGAGAGUACAUAUACCAAAUAAGAUAGAUGUGUAUUAUCAAAGAUUAGAUUAAUACAACAUAGCCAAUCGUGAAAUUUCGAUACAAGACUCGACUACACACGAUUUUAAAAGAAACACAGGAAAACAGAAAGUAACAACUGAUAUAAUAUAAUCAAUCGUCAAAUUUCGAAACAAGACUCGAGUACAUACGAUUUUAAACGAAACACAGAAAAAAGAGAAAGUGACAACUGAUACAACAUAGAAAGAAAGGAUCCAUAAGCAAGAUCAAUGCUAUCUAUCUUAUUCUUAAUUCUCCUCAUGAAACCAAAUUCUGAUGAUCAGCUUUACUGAACUCUGCAUUGAUAAUGAACAAAACCAACAUUAAUAAUAAUAAUGAUGAUAACAAAAACAUAAUGUACUAACUAUAAUAGUAUUUUUUUUAUUAUAUAAUUACAUAUAUAAAUAUUUUGAAACUAAUAUUUCUUAACAGUAAAAUAUAAAUAAAAAAAUGCACUUAUUUUUUGAGAAAACCAAACACACUUGUAGGUGCUAGCACAUAUCAUUUUUUUGUUACUUUAUUUUUCAUACUACGAAGAGUUAGGUGUUGUUAUAGGUAAAAAAAGAUGAAAAAUUUAACAUACUUAGAGCAGUCAGUAGAGGGGCUGAUCUUGUAAGGGAUGUUGACACUACAAGUGUUAGGGAGAGCAGCAGCUUUGCCCAAAUUGAGUCCUGUAAAAGAAGAAGCAGCUGAUUUUAGGCAAGUGCAUGCGGCCUGUCGGUCUACUGUAGUCUUGGCUUGACCCAAAAGACCCUUAACACCAUCACAACAGUUUCUGAGAGGACCGCGGUUCAUUAGAUAAGGGAGACAAGGAGCCAAGGUAGAUGUAACUUGACCACAAGUUAAAGCCUCUGCAUGGGGUGCAACCACUACCAUGCAUAAAAGCACAAAGCAUGCAAUCUUGUUAACCAUUUCCAUUCUUAAUGAUUUAUGAAAAUUAGAAUAGUAAUUAUGAGGUUUAUGAGGAAGUAGUGGAUGAGAAGAAAUGUGUUUUGGUUGAGUGUUUUUAUAGAGGGAAAUUUGGAGUAGAUGGCCAAUGGAGGAGUGAGAGAGGUAGUUGGUUGUUAGGUUGAAAAUUUAAAGCAUUUUUAUGGUUGUACAUUAUUUUGCUGGCUCUAAAGUCAUGUGGUAGCUAGUUCUAACAUCUUACGUGUAGGAGUUUUUUUUUUCUCACCAAAGUUCCCAUAAAUAGAUUCCUCGAUCAAUGUAGGACUUUUACCUACUUUAAUAUCCCUUUUUUUACGUAGAUCCAAUUGAGAUGUGGAUCGAAAAUUCAAACAGGAAUGAAUAUAACUCUAAUAUCAUGUUAAGAUAUGUUUUUUAGAUCUAAUUUAAUAAUAAAUGCUAGCUUAUGAGAGGAGUAUUGUCCACAUCCUUAUAAGUAAAUCAUCAGUUUAUUUCCUGAUUAACGUGAGACUUUUACCUACUCUAACAGUUUGAUCGAAGAUUUUUUUUAAAAAAAAAUUAUGAAGUUAUAGAGUUAAAGAUGAAAUUGUAUUGGAUAAUACUUUUACGAAAGAAUAAAAAUGAUGUGAUUAUAGCUUUAAAAAUAAAAAAAAUAAUUAAGAUUUUAAAUACAACUUCAAGUUAAAUAUUUUACGACCAUAAAUUUAAAUUUGGGAAGUGACGAAGUUUAUUUUACUUCUGGCGUUCUUAGCUGGAUUACAACAACGUUUAAUUAAUCAAGGUCUUCAUUAGUGUUUAGACACUUAACCACCCAAGUCUUUAAUGCUUUUUCUACUUACCAGCUUUAUCUCUUAAAAAUUGAUACAAAAUGACUACGUAUUAUAUUUUAUAAAGUUGAAAAUGUGUUCCAUUUUCUUUUUCAAAAUUAUCCUUAACACGUUCCUUAUUAAAUGUAUACAUUUAGAAAUAAUCAUAUCAAUACACGAUCAAUAGUUAUAACGUAUACUUGUUUCUUAGUAUUUCUUAACCCUUUAAUCACCAAAGAUGACGGUGGUUUUAUAAAUAGGCAUUUCAUUAAUAUAGAUUUUGAGUUUAAAUCAUAUUAAUUAUAAAGUCAUAUUAGUCAUUUUUUUAUGGUACCAACACUACAAUUAAUUACCGCUACAAUAUGCAUUUUUAGCGGGAAUUUAACACUCUUUAUAUAUGUUUCUAAAGUCUUUAGCGACAUUGAUUUUAACGACAUUUAACUAAUGCAGGUAAAGACUUUAACACUCUUUGUUAAUGUCAGCAUUUAUUACCGUCAAAAGCUGUUUUUUGUGGUAGUGCAAUUUAGGAUAAAAAGUCUUACAUCGAUCAAAUACAUGAAAGAUACUUUUCGUUUUUUAAGAGUCAAACAAUUUAAGUUUGACUAGUAAUUUACACACGGAAUUUUCUUUUUAUUGAAAUGAAAUGUAUAUAUAUACUUAUAAACUACGUAAAAGUAUUAUAAGUCAUAAUUCAAAAUAUUUUUAAAAUGUAUAAAAAAUUUACGAUUAAAAUAGAUUUGUUUGAAUCUCGAUAUUCAAAAAGUGUCACAUAAAAUGAGACGAAUGGAAUAUAUAUAUAAUACGUUAGUGAUGCGUUAUAAAAUUAUAUGGGCUUAAAUCUAAAAUGGACAAUAUUACUAAUGACUUGAACCUUUAAAAAUGAUAUCUGUUCAACUCAUGUGUCAUCUUUAUUGAUAUAUAUGGACCAAAGCUCUACAUAUAGGCAAAAUCUCAUGUGGUGGAGUAAACCACUGCGUCUAUAUAAGAGGAGGUGCAUGUGAAACCCCAGAUAAAAAGUGUAACAUCAACAAAAUCAAUUGAUGAAAACAUAAAUUAUAUAAAUAAGCAAAUUUUACAUUUUAAUGACAUAUUUUAAAAUCGCGCAGACCUAGAUUUAACUAGAUUCAGGUAGGAAAAAAGAAACAGAACCUGACACUUUGACGUUUCUUAUAUGUUGCACAAAGUGUUGAUUGCUAAUUGGACCACGAAUUCAGCUAUAUUAUUACAUGCUUUCUCUUGGUCCAUGUAGUAUAAAUUUGUGUCGGUCCCAAUAUUAAUUUGGUAGAAGUUGAGUAAAGAUUUGAGCCACCCAAACUCAUUAAUUAGGCCAAACAAGAGGAAAUUUCUUUGAGACAUAUAGUCUUACCUAGAGGCCUAUAAUUUGGUGUAUAAUGUGGGGAUAUGUUUCACAUGUAUGAGUAUUAUAAAGUUUAUAUAAGUUUUAUAUAAAUGAUUUUCUUUAAGAUAAUAAAAUAAUAUUUACUGACCUUUCCAGAUUGGAUUAUUUUUUGACCUAUAAUUUUAGGUUGAUUUUCUCUGAGUUGUUUCAUAUAUCAAUUUUGACUAUUUGUUUAAAUAGUGUAUUAAUAAUACGAGGUUGUGUAUUGAUUGGUGUGGUUCGAUUUGAGAAUUUAUCAGUUUUAUUUAUUGAUUAUUGGUUUGUAAUCAUAUUUUAACCGUUAUUGAACAGUUAAAAUAUUAAUUUAUCGAUUAUUGGAUUAUUAGUUAGUGAUCGCUAUCGAUUUGAUUAUUGGAUUAACAGUUCAAACAAUUCCCAUUGAGAAUUACUAAUGGACUAAUCACUCAUUACAAUACGCAGUAGUCAGUAGUCACUAUGAACUUUCCCCGGUUAGUCUAUCUACAUAAAAUACUUAAUGAAACUCCAUAUUAAUUCAAAUAGAGAUGUCAAUAUUGCCCAAACUAGCAAAUUCAAAAGGAUUUCUCAUAACAACCAAGCCAAUUUUGAUAUGAACUAUAAAGAGAAACCAUUACGACACUGCUAACAAAAAUCAUUAAUGAUCAUGAGACUUACUAAUAAAAGCUUUUUCGUUUGCAAAUUCUAGCAUAGGGCGAUAUACAGACAUAUCUCAUUGACUCACUCACUGUAACUAGAAGAUAAAAACAAACACUUAAAGUAAGGGAACCAACCAUCUUAACCUCAAUUUUAGACACUUAGAAAAUGCUAUUCAGUAUAACUUUUUGGCGUGGGAGCAGUGACAGUGAAUUAAUGAGUGAUGUCGCAACUCUAAAAAUUCCUAAGGCCUUAAGUGAUAUAAAUGUAAGAUACUAAACUUGUUAUUAGGUUAUCACGACACUCAAUUAGAAAUAUGGCUAAACCGAAAUCCAAAUCGGUAAGACGAUGAAAAGUUUAUAAUAAAUUGAGAUUCGAACCGUUAAAUUAUUAAUCUGAAUCUUUGACCCAAUAAUAAAUAUCAAUCUCGAUUUGAUUUGAUCAGCUCUAUGGUGAUAUUUCAAAUAAAAAUCAUGAAGUUAAAUUAAAAAUUGUUGUUUUUUAAGUUGCCACCUAAUGCAUGGAAGAACUUGAUUAAAAAAGUGUCACGACCCAAAUCCGGGCCGCGACUGGCACCACACUUACCCUCCUAUGUGAGCGAACCAACCAAUCUAACCUUAACAUUUCAAUAUAAUAUCAACAGAAAGUAAUGCGGAAGACUUAAACUCAUUAAAUAAAGACCAAUUCAUUAACUUCUAAAAUUCAACAUCUAUUAUUCCCCAAAAUCUGGAAGUCAUCAUCACAAGAACAUCUACGAUCAAACGACUAAACUAAGAGUAUUCUAAAAGCUAAAAAUACAUAAGAAGCUAGUCCAUGCAGGAAGUUCAAGGCAUCAAGACUUGAAGAAGAAGAUCCAGUCCAAGCUAGAAGCAUUAGCUCACCCUGAAUUUCCGAUGUAGCAAGACUGACUUGAAUUACUGUUGAGUUGAAGACGAUGGCACGUUUGCUGCACUCCACAAAUAAACAAGAAGAGAACAUAAAAGUAGGGGUCAGUACAAAACACGGGUACUGAGUAGAUAUCAUCGGCCAACUCAAAAUAGAAAUCAAUAUAUACCAAGUAAUAUCAUAAAAUCAACUAUGAUACUCAACAUGUAGCAACAACAAAUACUAUAUCGUUAACAAUUACCGUCAAGUUCACACAUGAGGACUCAAGCCUCGAUACCAUACUCAUUUGGGAAUCAUGUUCAUUAGAUUGAGUAUAUUAACAUCUUUCAAGAUUCAUUAUCUUUAUUUCUCUGUGUCGGUACGUGACACUCCGCUCCCUCAAUAUUCAUUAAUCCUCUUGUGUCGGUACGUGACACUCCGAUCCCCUAAAUCUAUGUGUCGGUUCGUGACACCCGAUCCCCUAAAUCUAUGUGUCGGUUCGUGACACCCGAUCCCCUAAAUCUACGUGUCGGUUCGUGACACCCGAUCCCCUAUACUACGUGUCGGUUCAUGACACCCGAUCCCUAAAUCUAUGUGUCGGUUCGUGACACCCGAUCCCCUAAUUCUACGUGUCGGUUCGUGACACCCGAUCCCCUAAUACUACGUGUCGGUUCGUGACACCCGAUCCCCUAAUUCUACGUGUCAGUUCGUGACACCCGAUCCCGAGCCAUCCAAUGGUUCGUGCACACGACUCAUAAUCUCUAUGUCGGUUCGUGACACCCAUCCCCAAAUGUCUACGUGUCGUGUUUCGUGACACCCGAUCCCCUAAUCUAUACGUUGUCGGUUAUGACACCCUCCCUUCACGUGUCAGUUCGUGACACCCGAUCCUACUUAAUUCUACGUGUCGGUUCGUGACACCCGAUCCCUAAUCUCCUUCCAUCAAUUCAUCAAGCCUUCUUUCUCAAUUGUAUCUCAAAAAUGAGAAUUAAUUCUCAAUUGUGCUAAACGUGUAUUUUUAGCGGCAAUUGACACUCUUUGUAUCUGUCCCUUAAACUUUUAAACGACAUUGGUUCUAAUGAAACUUAACUAAUGUCGGUAAAGACUUUAACACUCUUUAUUAGGCCUCAUUUGUUUGCACUUAAUGGAGGUCUGAAUCUAAAUCAUUCAAAUUCAGCUUAUUAAGUACAUUUGGUUUUAGGUUUGAAUCUCAAUCAGCCCAUUAAGUUCAUUUGUUUUAUUUUUAAAAAGCCUCUUAAUGGGUCUGAAGAGGUCUGAAUGAAUCAGAUCUGUAGGAGACUCUUAACAACAUUCAGAUUUGUUUAAUAAGUUAUCAAAUAAUAAAUAUCGCUUCUCUACUUUAACCGUGCUUUUUAUCGCAUAACUAAAAACUUUGUUUUUCUCUUUUCUCAAUCAAACGUCAUUUUCCCCUUCUUGAACUGAUAAAUUUUCAUAAAUCUUUUCAAGUUUUUUUUUAUAUUAAUAAUUUUCUUGUAUUGACUGUGUCAAAAACAUUGUUGGUGUAUUAGCUAGCGUUUAUCAAGGUUUUUGAAUGAAAAAAAUUUCCAAAAUCAUGAUUAUUAAAACUUUUUAUUAUCAAAAGCGAUAUAUUUUGUUGAAAUGAAUUUUUAUUAUUUUUAUUAGUUUAAUGUUAAUUUCACAUGCACAUUCAGAUAUUGAAAACAAACAAUAUUAAUUAUUUAGUGUUCAGAUUUAGAGACCACAUCUUAAUAUUCAGAUGUGUAUUCAGAUCAAAGUACCUGAAUCUUAAUAUUCAGAUGUGUAUUCAGAUUCAGACCUCUUAGUCUGGCUGGAAACAAAUAAGGCCUUCCGCUAUUUUUGUUGUAGUGAGUGGUAAUUAAUUAAAAUUAUAGUUAUAUAAACUAAUUAGCUAGUAUAUGUUUGCUUAACUAUACUAUUUUCCCAAAUAAGUUUAUAUUAUCCAUCAUAAAAUAUAAAUAACCACACGUAUUAGAAUGUAUAAAAAUAAUGUACAAUAGAGUAUAUUAGUAACACUUAUAUAUUAGUAAUAUUUGUAUUAGUUAUGCUUGCAUUAGCUAUAUAUAACUUUUUAUUUAUGCAUUGUUUGGUUUGAUGUAUUAAAAAUAGUACGCAUUGUAUAAUUAUAUUUAUUUACAAAAUAGUCUCCACAAUUAUGACGGAAAAAACGUAAAAUGUUUUUAGGGUCAAUUGGGUCUUUAACCAUAUUAAUACACAUAAAAAUUAAGAAAUUGACGCGACUCCUUAAAAAGGGCAUGUAAUUACAGUGGGCGCGAAAUGGCGUGAGCAUAUGUGAUGAUUCCCCAACUCAAUGCGGAGGAGCUCGUAAAGUUUGCUGAGAAAGUUUUUUGUGUGCUUUGAGCGCAAGAUCCAUGGGUUACCACAUAUGAAAAAUUAAGGAAUUUCUGUAAUUCCUAAAAAAAGGGCCUGUGGGUGUGGAAAUGAGCAAGAAAAUAAUAGCAUGAGCAUACGUGAUAGGUCCCAACUCAUGAAUUUGGAGGUCCUCAUAAAAAAUUUUCAAAUUUUUUUUGCGUGCUCAUGGCUAAAGAUCUAUGGAUAAUACAAAUAGAAAAUUGUGGAAUUUAAGCUAUUUCAAAAAUGGGCCUGAAGAUGCGGAUAUGAGUGAGAAAAAAAUGGUGUGAUCAUGCGCGAUGGUUCCCAACUCAAUAUAGAGGUCAUCCUACAAUUUUCUUAGAAAUUUUUUGAGUGCUCCAAGCGCCAAAUCUAUGAGCUAAUACAUAUAAAAAAAUUGAAGAAUUCACGCGAUUCACAAAAAUGACAUAUGGAUGCGAAAAUGUGCGCGAAAAAAAUGGUGUGAGCAUACAUGAUGGUUCUGCAACUCAAUACGGUGGUCCUCAUAAAGUUCUUUCAGAAACAUCUUUUGGGUGCUCCAAAAGUCAGACCCAUAGGCUAAUACACACAAAAAUUGAAGUAUUUGCGUGAUUUCAGAAAAGGCAUGUAUAUGCAAAAAUGGGAGAAGAAAAUGGUGUGAAUAUAUAUACGUGAUGGUUCCCAACUCCAUACGGAGAUCCAUAUAAAGUUUUUUGAGAAAAUAAUUUUUGGUGCUCCGAAUAUAUCGUCUGUAUGGUUGCUACGGAGCAUCUGAUUUGUAUAGAUCGACAUAUCAUUUGUAUUAAAGCGCAAUGAUUGUAUAUAUAUAACUAUAACAGAGGAGGAGGAGGGACUAGGGAAGAGGAGGAGGAGGAGGAGGAAGUUGUCUCAAUGUAUUUGAUAAAAUAGUUUUUGUGAUAAGAGGCGGACCCACCCUUUUAGGUAGGGUGCACGUGCACUUGUUAAUUUCGGUAAAUAAAAUCAUGAGUUUGUGAGUGUAUGUGUGUGUAUUGAUAUAUAUUGAAAAAUUGAGAGAAAUUAGAAUAUAAUUAACGUACUCAUCAUAAAAAGCAUAAGUAUAUAUGUUAUUGUGCUGCCGGUACAAGCUAAAGUAUGCACAUGCAAGACUUGAAUUUGAAUCUAGCUAGAGUGUUGUUUCACUUUUUUUUAUGUUAAGCUUAUCAUAGAGGCUAAAGCUUAUAUUUGAGCUAAGGUAAUAUUGGUGCACCAACUUCAAAUUCCGAUUCGCCUUUUGCAGCAUUAGUUAUUUUUAGCCAAUACGAUAACUAAAAUGGAUCGGAGGGAAUAUCAUGAUUUGAAUAAAGGAUCUAACCAGAGUCAAAUUUAAAAUAUAUUGAUGAAAUUUCUAAAAUUCCAACGUUAUAUCAUCCUUUUCUUAAGAAUUACCAAAUCAUAAUUAGAGUUGAGAAAAAUUUAAAGCAGAAAAUAACAUGUAUUACUAUAUGAAGAUUGGGUUGUAACAUAAGCAACCACCAAUGUUCAUUACAAGACUCGACAAUAUAUAAGUACUCCAAAUUACAAAAGAAAAGAGACAACAUAUAUAUAUAUAUAUAUAUAUAUAUAUAUAUAAUGAUGGAUCAAACUCGAUAGAUAAAUCCAUCUUAUUCUUCAUCUCCACAAGCCAGAUUUAGCUUUCAUCAACCUUACUGGACCCUGCAAUGCAAUAUUAAAUCAACAUUAAAUAUAUAGUAUGCGCGUACACACAUAUAUAUAUCGUUUUGUAACAUAUAAGUUUAAUCAAUAGUCAGACAUAUAUAAAUUACAAAUAAAAGAGAUAUUAUACUGUCAAUUGAAUAAGUAUAAUCACCGUACGUUGAGCAAUCAGUGGAAGGGCUGAUCUUGUAAGGAAUGUUGACUCCACAAACUCCAGGGAGCCCAGCGGCUUUUCCUGUAUCAAUGCCCUUAAUAGAAUUAGCUGCCGAUUUAAGGCAAGUGCACGCUGUCUUCCGGUCUUCUGGGGUCUUGGCUGCGCCCAAUAGACCCUUAACACCACCACAACACCCUCCUAGAGGGCCGCGACCCUCGAGAUAAGGGAGACAAGGAGCCAAGCCAGACGUAACCUCGCCGCAGCUCAGUGACUCUGCAUGGGGUGCAACCACCACCAUGCAAAAAACCACAAAGCAUGCAAUUUUUCCAAACAUUUCCAUUCUUAUAAAAAAAUUGAGUAAAGAUUAUAGAUAUAGUAGUACAAUUGUAUUUGUU